ACCGUUAUGGAACCGACACAAACAUUCAUCCACCGACGUGUCUCCCCCCACCAUCGUUUCACCGCCGUCAGAACCGUAUCUACUCCUAUAUAACCCUCACACAACCAGAAUAACCGCCGGUCAUGUAUCACCCAUCUGAAACCUUGGCAGACUCAUGGUGUGAGGGUAGUUGCAUUCAUAAAUCCAGUCACUCAAUUUCCAAUUAAUAAUACUAUUCCGCCACAAAGUAAUCUGCCACAAAACCCCAACGUAGUCGGCACCGGCCGGAUUCCGCACAGAUUUUCAAUUUACUCCACCGUCACCGGUUCAACAAGAAGAGAUGGCCGAUGAUGGUUUUAUUAAUUGCAUAAUCUCCCAACAAAACUUCAUCGUCAAUUAUCAUACAUAUAAUGCUACAAAGCGUAGAGGAUUUCUGGAGGUGCAACUUUGCCGUAGAAAUUAAAAAGAUAAAGGAUAUUGAAGCAAAGUUAAAAGACCAGGAAGAAUAAGCGAACCGGUUCAGGCAGAUCACAGAUGUAGCAUUCCUACGAAAAGGAAACGUUUCAUUUGGAGCAAAUGAUGGAACCGUGGUGGCUGUGCAGGUUCGGUGGUUGUGCUGUGGUGGUGGUUCAAUGGUGGUGUUGUGGUGUCGGUGGUGAUUUCCUCCAAUGCUUUUGAAUGGUGGUAUUUGGAGAUGUGAGAUAUGAUUUUGAAUGGUGGUAUUUGGACAAUACACUUUGUUUUUUGAUGA